GGGCCAUAGCUCAGUGGUACAGCACAUGCCUUGCAAACAGAAGGUUCCAGGUUCAAUCCCUGGCAUCUUCA